rfam:Homo sapiens chromosome 17 genomic contig, GRCh38 reference assembly alternate locus group ALT_REF_LOCI_1.
GCUGGGUGUGGUGGUGCACACCUGUAAUCCCAGCUACUCAGGAGGCUGAGGCAGGAGAAUUGCUUGAACCCAGGAGGCAGAGGUUGCAAUGAGCCAAGAUCACGCCACUGCACUCCAGCCUGGGUGACAGAGCAAGACCCUGUCUCAA